GUAUUAAAUUAUUAUGCGUUUGACCGCACAACAAAGACAUUCUAGGACAUACGUAUUUUGUAUAAACAUGAGUAUAUGCGCUUUCAGAAGGUCGUUAUCCAACCCCUUACUCAUUCAUAAUACCCACAAAAGGUGCACAGGUGUAAGAUGGAUGAAGUGAGGCGAGCACAUACCCCGAAAGGUCAGCUACAAACCCCAAGUAUUCAAUCAUUAAUGAUCCUUCCGCAGGUUCACCUACGGAAA
rnacentral:misc_RNA from 1 species